rnacentral:lncRNA from 1 species
UUCUGAAGAAGAAACAAGUGAAGGUUAUGAACCCUCUACUGAGGAAGUGGUCAAAGUAGUUUGGGAUCGGGAUUGGGAUUAGAAUCCCUAGGUGCAUUGAGUGGCAGUCGACGACAAAAAGUGUUGAUUCACUGCAAAGUAACCACCCAAGGUUCCCCAUAUUCCAAUCUGAUAGAUGUCAAGGAAAGCGAGGGAGGGGGAGCUCGAUUGGAAUCGACUAACAAAGUGG